AAUAUUGGGACAUAUAAAACAAGACAACUCUUUUCCGCUGAGUAGCUGUUGACAUUAUAGUUGCGCAGGAUCUUUGUUGAUUCUAGAGAACCUCGGGCAAAUCGCACAUCCCUGUGGCGGCGACUUUGCAUGGGGAUGUCAUCCAUAUCAACUUCUCGAUGCCAGUUUCUGCGCCUACCAUGGUGACCAUGGGUAAUGGGGAAUCAGGGUUCCAGUCCAUACAGGGACCCUGAGAAAUGGCUACCACAUGCAAGGAAGGCAGCAGGCGCGCAAAUGACCCACUCACGACGCGGGAAGGUAGUGA
rnacentral:rRNA from 1 species